rnacentral:rRNA from 1 species
AUUGAACGCUGGCGGCAGGCCUAACACAUGCAAGUCGAACGGUAGCACAGAGAGCUUGCUCUCGGGUGACAAGUGGCGGACGGGUGAGUAAUGUCUGGGAAACUGCCCGUUGGAGGGGGAUAACUACUGGAAACGGUAGCUAAUACCGCAUAACGUCGCAAGACCAAAGUGGGGGACCUUCGGGCCUCACACCAUCGGAUGUGCCCAGAUGGGAUUAGCUAGUAGGUGGGGUAAUGGCUCACCUAGGCGACGAUCCCUAGCUGGUCUGAGAGGAAUGCCAGCCAGACGGGAACUGCAACACGGGCGAGACUCCUACGGGAGGCAGCAGUGGGGAAUAGUGCACAAUGGGCGCAAGCCUGAUGCAGCCAUGCCGCGUGUAUGAAGAAGGCCUUCGGGUUGUAAAGUACUUUCAGCGGGGAGGAAGGCGGUGAAGUUAAUAACUUCACCGAUUGACGUUACCCGCAGAAGAAGCACCGGCUAACUCCGUGCCAGCCGCCGCCGUAA